rnacentral:rRNA from 1 species
AGCAGCCGCGGUAAAUUCCAGCUCCAAUAGCGUAUAUUAAAGUUGUUGCAGUUAAAAAGCUCGUAGUUGAAUUUCGGAAUCUGUCCAUCGGUCGGGCUUCACUGUCCGUACUGGUGUGGUGGGUUCUUACCUUCUGAAUAACCAGCAUGCCAUUCACUUGGUGCGUUGGGGAAGCAGGACUAUUACCUUGAAAAAAUUAGAGUGCUCAAAGCAGGCUAGUGCCUGAAUACAUUAGCAUGGAAUAAUAAAAUAGGACGGCAUGGUUCUAUUUUGUUGGUUUCUAGGAUCACCGUAAUGAUUAAUAGGGAUAGUUGGGGGCAUUAGUAUUCAAUUGUCAGAGGUGAAAUUCUUGGAUUUAUUGAAGACUAACUUCUGCGAAAGCAUUUGCCAAGGAUGUUUU